GGUGGCUCAGCGGUAGAGCGCAUGCCUUGCAAGCAUGAGGCCCUGGGUUCGAUUCCUUAGCACCA
rnacentral:tRNA from 1 species